rnacentral:rRNA from 3 species
UCUAACAAGGUUUCCGUAGGUGAACCUGCGGAAGGAUCAUUA